rnacentral:rRNA from 1 species
UACGGGGGGGGCAAGCGUUGUUCGGAAUUACUGGGCGUAAAGGGCGCGUAGGCGGUCAGCACAAGUCAGUUGUGAAAUCUCCGAGCUUAACUCGGAAAGGUCAACUGAUACUGUGCGACUAGAGUGCAGAAGGGGCAACUGGAAUUCUCGGUGUAGCGGUGAAAUGCGUAGAUAUCGAGAGGAACACCUGCGGCGAAGGCGGGUUGCUGGGCUGACACUGACGCUGAUGCGCGAAAGCUAGGGGAGCGAACGGG